rnacentral:rRNA from 1 species
AUGGACUCCCCAUGGUACUUCAUGUCGGCCCAUACCCCUAGAAGACGUUGCUGUCUCAAAUGGAUUGCUGAACUGUUGAAAACUGAUGGAACAUGGAACAGAGGGCUACUACAACAAUAUUUUUAUCAAGUUGACAUUGAUGUGAUCAUGAAAAUCAAACCCUCACAACAGCUGGAGUCUGACUUUGUGGCACGGUUUCCUGAUAACCGCGGCUGUUUCUCCGUGAAAAGUGCAUACUUUCUUGGUUUACAUGAGAAAAUGCCUGAAAAUGAUCCUGGAGCGUCCAGCGCUCAUCCGGAUGGCCGGCACCCUGUCUGGGACUUGAUUUGGAAGCGCCUCCAAAAGUAUGUAUAUUUGCGUGGAAAGCUGCACAUGAAUCUCUAG